CGUUAAACCCUCCCACCUAGAGGAAGGAGAAGUCGUAACAAGGUUUCCGUAGGUAUUUUCACUAUGCGGAUAAUAGCAGGCCUUAAAAGGGUUCCCUGCUAGUGCUUUGCUCCGUUGGGUAAAGUGCGACACCAUCAAAUUGCCUGGAAAUCCCGGUAAGCCUCUGAUACCGCUCAACAGAAGAAACUCUGUAGAUGCACCUCGGUGAAAGUCGAGGGUAUGGUAAAAACUCAGCAGGAUAGGGACAAUGGGCAGCCAAGUGCUAAAGGAGAUUCCUCCCAUGCAUGCAGUUCACAGACUAAAUGUUGGUGGGUUGGAAGGGCUUUCACUGAGUCCUUUCGGCUUAAGAUAUAGUCGGACCCCGCUGACAGGCGGUCUGCGAGAGGAAUUCUGUUUAUCAGAAGGAGAGCUCGCAGGUGCUCAGGUAAUACUCUGCAAUGCAAAUUGUUUGAGGGCAAAAUAUGCCUCUGAGCAGGAAAAAAUCGAGGUGAACCUGCGG
rnacentral:rRNA from 1 species